rnacentral:rRNA from 1 species
GACGAACGCUGGCGGCGUGCCUAAUACAUGCAAGUCGAACGCAGUGGGGACGGGUGAGUAACACGUGGGUAACCUCCCAUCAGAGGGGAUAACACUUGGAAACAGGGGCUAAACCGACACUGAUGGUGGGACCGGCGGUGCAUUAGCUAGUUUGGGAGGUAAGGGAUCACCACGGCCACGAUGCAUAGCCGCCCUGAGAGGGUGCUCGGCCACACUGGUACUGAGACACGGCCCAGACUCCUCCGGGAGGCAGCAGUAGGGAAUCUUCGGCAAUGGACGAAAGUCUGACCGAGCAACGCCGCGUGAGUGAAGAAGGUUUUCGGAUCGUAAAACUCUGUUGUUAGAGAAGCGGUAUCUAACCAGAAAGCCACGGCUAACUACGUGCCAGCAGCCGCGGUAAUAC